CCAGACAAACCAGCUUACUCACUGUUCCCUGAACUCUGUAUUCCACUGCUGGUCUCUAUGUCUUUGAAGAUGUUCUCUCUCAUGCCUGGAAUGUGUUCUUUCUUUACUCCAGCUUCAGAAACCUGAAAAUUCCUUCAUGGAAGAAAGCCAAAAGGAAUCACAAACAAUUCAGGGCAGUUCUAAAAGGUACAUGAUGAUACAGAAAUUCAAUUUGCUUGACUGUUUUCACUCUUUUCAACAAUGUAGAAAAAUCAAACUGAAAGAAUUAAAAAGCAUUUAAGUACAUAUUAUAUGCCCAGCACUGAUGCAGCAAAAGAGCUCUAUCUCUAGAAUGGGAAUUCCUGGACUCAAAUUCUGUCUGUCUGAGGGAACCUGGCUGCUGACCUUGAAAACUGAGAAAAUGGACAAAAUCAAAAACAGUGAAUCUAUCACCAUUUCAAAAUAAGUUUAACCAACAUAAAAAAGUCACCACAAAAGAGAAAUGGAAAGGAGUCCAGAAACCUCUUCUCACCAGAGCGAAACACGGCACUCAAGGGCUAUAUGGGUUUAGAGUCCAAACUAUUUGCAAAAAAAAAAAAAAAAUCUGUGAAGACUGACCAAAUAUUACAAAUAGUUAUCACCUUACAAAAUAGUAAAAGAGAGAAGAAACAGCAAGCCUACACAGAGUUUGACAUGAGGCCCUACUAAACCCCAAAACACUUUGGAUAAAACUGGAUAGUGAACAACAAAUGGAUAUGAAAUGAAAUAGAUCUAAUAUUUCUCUUAUGGCCUAUUCUCAGUGAAAGUAGUAGAGUAUUUGAAUUCUGCCACCAAAGUAGUAGAUGCCCUAUUGUGAGGAAACAGAAGCAGGACUUAAAAUAAAAUAAAAGAUGGAUCUAGAAAAAGCAGGUAGACUUGAACAAAUAUAUAUAUGGAAAUCCAUGCUAGAGGUAAUGAUUUAAAAGACAGUGAUAUACAUGGUUCAGUGGGUAUAUGAUUAGGGAUGUGACUUUAAUUGAUCACUUGAUUGCAAAUAUUAAUAAUAUGGAAAUAGAUUUUGAACAAUGAUACAUGUAAAACUCAGUGGAAUUGCUCAUCAGCUCAGGGAGGGACAAGGGAGGAGGAGAAGGAAAGAACAUGAAUUGUGUACCAUGGAAAAAUAUUCUGAAUUAAUUCAAUAAUUUUUUGAAAAAUCUUCCUAAAGUACAAAAAUAAAUUUAAAAAAUUAAAAACAGUGGUAUAAAGGAUGGGAAUAAAAACAGCAAUAGCUAACAUUUACAUAGCACUUUAAAGUCUACAAACCAUUUUAUAUACUUUAUCUCAUUUGAUCCUCACAACAAUCCUGUAAAGCAAGUAAUAUGGAUAUUAUCAUCACUCUCAUUCUACAUUUGAGAAAACUGAGAAAUAGUGAUUUUGCCUAACGGUAACAUAGUUAGCAAAUAUUGGAAGGUAGGAAUUGAGUCAAGGUCUUUGUUUUCUGAAAGUCCACAUCUUUUUUUCCAUUCUACCUUCCUGCCUCUCAGAUUUCAAAAAAUAUUCCCAACUAUACCUCCAUUCUACUCAAUUUCAAAAGAACUGUAAACAAAUGGAAAAUAUGAUACCUUUUCUUUAAAAAAAAAAGAAAAGCCAACAGGAAGAGCACUGCUUUCUGUUUAGCUUUCUAAAAUGAUGGUAUUCUUGAAGAAAAUAAGAAGAAAAUGGACAAACUUUCUUAGAUGUUUUUCUACAUAGAAUGACCAUCAUAGAGAGGUGUAGGGAACAUAUCAAUUAAUCAACUAGCAAAUAUCUCUCCGUGGUCAUUAAUUUCAACAUAAAGCAUUUGAUUCAGUGAGAGAAAAUGUAGUUUUAAUGGCUCUCCUCAAACCAGAUAACUUUCCCACAUUUCUUAAGAAUUAUAAAAGAUACUAAAUGGAUGAGAGUCAUGAGACAACUUUGUUCAACAAUCAGCUGAAUAUAAUUAUCAUAUGAAAGGUAGUAGGAAGAGAUGUUCUUCUCACUUAUAAUGUCUGACAACAUAAUCACGGAUACCUGUUCAGAGAUCAAAUAAAAGAGGGAUUCUCUACUGCUGACAAGCAUUCUCCCAAUGCUAUUAACAGAUGACACUUCACUGGUUAUAUCAAGCCCCAGAAUACUACACAGGUUCCUCAAUGAAAUCCAGUCAUUCAAAAGAGGAACAAUCAUCCAUAGUCAAAAAACAAAGUGGAUGAUGAAAUCAUUUUGUACAUAUUGCAACAGGCAAUUAGGUAAAAUCACUGAUCUGUUCAGUAUAAUAAACAUCUGUAUGUCAGUUUUGUCAAACAAACAGAAAAGGAUCUACUAAAUGACGUAAAAACCCACAAAUUAACAUUGUCUAUGUCUUGUUGCAUUUUGACUUAUUUUGUUAAAUAUUUCCCAAUAUUUUAAUCUGGUUCAGCUCCACUAGGGAGCACCGAGGGCUAUAGCAAUUAAUGUUGGACCACUCUGGUGUUGAUCAACAAUCAUAUGAACAAUUGACUAGACCCAGACUAGAUUCAGAAUUGAAUAGUAUAUUGAACUAGAUCACAUUUAGAAAAUUGUACAGGAAUGUCAAUAUCUCCAAGCUACUAAAAAAUGCGUGUCCAUCUUUUUAAUAUUAAUAUUGACACGGCAAAACUUCAAAUCAUAGACCACCAUGAUCUUAAAAGAAUUACAAAUGACCCAAAGAGCAAUGGGAAGAUAUAUGCUACUUCACUUCUAUACAAUAAAGGAUAAAAAACACUUUUUACCUCCCUGAGCAAAACUGAUAUCUAAAUCCUGAAUGGUUGGAAGAAGAGGUAGAACUAAAGAAAGGCAUUUGAGUGAGGCCUUAGUGGAGAAUCCAAGGAAAGACAUGAACUGGAACCAUACAGAAUAGGUGUAGAAGACUUACAAUAUUUACCAAUGAAGGGUGUGACUAUACUGGUAACAUGACAGAUUCAUCAAAGGAUUUAAGUAUACUGUAAAAACUGGAUAGAAAUAUGGGGAAAUUUUAUUUUGAUUUGAUAAAAUUACUUUCUGUGCCAUAAUCAUUUCUGUUGGAUCAGACAAAAAUAAGAAAAAAUGAAAUUAAAACCAUAUUUAUCUUAUUUUUAGAGGAUGGAUAAAUGUUUCUCAGAGAAACAGAAGAAAUUACAAGAGCUAAGGGAGAACAAAAAAUUUAAAAAUCACUGUUUUAAAUUAUACAUACUUCAAAACAUCUGUGAUUUCAUUAACAUAGGUGCUCUCUCCAAAUGUAUAGACCCAAUUCAUCUACCCCUUCUUUUUUAGAUAUUUUAUUUUACCCAAUUACAUGUAAAAACAAAUUUUAAUAUUCAUCUUUUAAAAUUUUGGAGUUCCAAAUUCUCUCCCUCCCACAUCCUCCCCCCCCCACUUCCCAUGAGAUGGUAAACAAUCUGAUAGAGAUCUUACAUGUGCAGUCAUGUAAAACAUUUUUCCAUAUUAGUCAUUUUGUGAAAGAGGGCUCAGAUAAAAAAAAAAGAAGAAAGUGAAAUAUAGUAUGUUUUGGUUUACAGUCAGAAUCUAUCAGUUCUUUCUCUGAGGGCAGAAAACAUUUUUCAUCAUGAGUCUCUUGGAGUAUAUGGAUCACUGUACUGCAGGGAAUAACUAGGUCAUUCACACUUGUUUGUCAAAAAAAAUGUUGCUAUUACUGUUUACAGUAUUCUUCUGUUUCUACUUAUUUCACUUUGCAUUAGUUUAUGUCAGUCUUUCCAGGUUUUUCUGAAAUCAUUCUAUUCUUCAUUUCUUAUAGCACAAUAGUAUUCCAUCAUAAUCAUAUACCAAAACUUGUUCAGUCAUUGUUCAAUUGAUGGACAAUUCCUCAAUUUCCAAUUUUUUGCUAUUACAAAAAGAGUUGCAAUUAAUAGUUUUGUACAAAUAGCUCAAUUUCCCUUUUUAAAAUCUCUUUGGGAUACAGACUUAAUAGUGGUUUUGCUGGAUCAGAGGAUAUACACAUUUCAGAGCCUUUUGUACAUAGUUCCAAAUAUUUCUCCAGAAUGAUUGAAUCAUAUCACAACUCUAUCAACAAUGCAUUAAUGUCCCAAUUUUUCCACAUCCCAGCCAAUGUUUAUUUUCUGUCAUAUUGGCCACUCUGAAAGAUUGAAGUGGUACCUCAAAGUUGCUUUAAUUUGCAUUUCUCUAAUAAAGAGUGAUUUGGAACAUUU